rnacentral:rRNA from 1 species
AGGGCUGCAGUAUAUUGACUGUACAAAGGUAGCAUAAUCAUUAGUCAUUUAAUUGAUGACUUGUAUGAAGGAUUUGAUGAGAUAUAAACUGUCUCUUAUUUAAUUAUAAAAUUUAAUUUUUUUAUUAAAAAGUUAAAAUAUCUUAAAAAGACGAGAAGACCCUAUAGAGUUUAAUAAAUUAUUAGAUUGAGAUUAUAUGUAAAACAAAUUUAAAAUAAAAUUAUUUAUUUUGUUGGGGUGACAAAAAAAUACAUUAAACUUUUUUUUAUUUUAAAACAUUUAUAAGUGAUUAAAUGAUCCCAUAAUAUUGAUUAUGAGAAAAAAUUACCUUAGGGAUAACAGCGUAAUUUUUUUUUUUAGUUCAAAUAAGAAAAAGAGUUUGCGACCUCGAUGUUGGACUAAGAUAAAAUUUAAA